CUUGUAUAGUCCCCACAGUGGGGUUUAGGUUUCAACCUAUAAAGCAAAGGGGACACAAUGCAGUACAUAUCAGCAGGAUUCUCACUACAUACUCCAGGACAGCCUUGAAAUCAUUUUGUAGCCCAGGCUGACCUUGAACUCAUGGUGAUCCUCCUGCGUCAGCCUCUAGAGUACCUAUAUGCACCAUCAGAAAAUCUGAGCUUUUCUUUCUGCUCACGCCUGAAGGAGAAUGUGUCUUCUUGCCUUUUUCCACCUGUCUCUCCUCCAGUAGAACACUUAGCUGGCAACUGUGAAGCAGCUAGGGGAAGAUUCGACUUCCACAGAAAUGACAACUGUCAGGGAGGAAGUCUCCGCUGCUCUGACCUGUUAGUGAGGAUUCCUGCCGUGCCCUUUCCUAGAGCGCCUGAGUGUGCACACACAGAAGGCCCUGCCUGAGGAGCGUUUGACGUCAGUUCAGCACCUGCCUUUCUGCAGCUUGCUGGGCCCUUUUGUUCCUGGAAAUAGUUCCACAGCAUGGCCUGGCCUGGCCUGAAGGACUGCAGCCGUGGGGUCCUUUUCCUUCUCCUACAACACAAAUGGUUGCAUUUGAGAAGCUUGGGAAUGGAAAGGCAGCUUUCUCCCUCUGCACACUUACUUACAUAGCAUUAGAUUUACUACCAACAUCUGCACAGGAGAGGGGAUUAGUCCAGAACCUAGAACACGCUCAAAGGAUUCUUACUGGAAAUCUAGGCUUCACGCUGGGAGACAGAGAAGAUUAGAUUUUGACACCUAUCUCCUUGAAAGUUGAAAAAGGGAGGAAGGGAGGGAGGGAGAGAGAGAAAAAGAGAGAGAGAGAGAGAGAGAGAGAGAGAGAGAG